AAAAAAUUAAGCAGUGAUGAUUUAGAGCAUAUGCAUCAAGACUAGGAAAGCAUAAAAAACAUUAGCGGCAAGAAGAACAGAGCGAUAAAAAAGGCUGGUGGUGUCAAGUGGAAGUCCAUGUUUGAUGCUUAACCAUACCAAGCAAAUACUAAGAAGAAUAAACUAGCAUAUGAGGAGAAUAUCAAGGCCUACGACAAAGGAUU